rnacentral:rRNA from 1 species
UACAUGGGGGGCAAGCGUUGUUCGGAAUUACUGGGCGUAAAGGGUGCGUAGGUGGUUUGUUAAGUCAGGGGUGAAAUCCCGCGGCCCAACCGUGGAACUGCCUUUGAUACUGGCGAACUUGAGUGCGUGAGGGGUAGGGGGAACGAGCAGUGUAGCGGUGAAAUGCGUAGAUAUUGCUCGGAAGGCCAGAGCCGAAGGGGCCCUACUGGUGCGCAACUGACACUGAGGCACGAAAGCGUGGGGAGCAAACAGG